UUGAGAUUCUUUAGUUUAUUUCUUGCUACCUAAAAAUUAUCUUUAUUGCCUUUAUUUGUUUUUAAUUAAACAUAUUCUCUGAACAAAUACUUAUUGAUUGUCUAAUAUAUAUCAGACAUUAAGCUAGAUGCUAAUGAGUCAAUGGUAAACAAGAUGUAAAACCAUCCUCAUGAUGCUGGAGAGGAAACAGACAAGUAAAAGGUAGCACUGGAACAGACAUUUGUGAUAUCACAGUAGGAGUGAGGCAGGGCAUUAGGAAUGCUAUGGACAAUCCCCUCAGAUUGAGAAGUGUGGAGGGCUGACUCUCAGAAAGAGUGGGAUUUAUGUUGAGAACUGAAGAAUGAGUAGGAAAGUUCACUGGGGCAAGAGAAGCUGAACACAAGGUCUAAAGAGGCGAAGGAGGGAUGGAAGGAGAAUAUUAUAUGGACUUUUUCAUUGACCUACUUUUUAAGGAAUGUAGAGGAGUGGAAAAUGGAGGUUGUUGAUUCUGCCUUAUGGAUGAAAUAUAGAAAACGUAAGUGAUGAGACAAUGCUGUGAAAUUCAUUCUAAUUAAAAUAGAAGCAGAAGAUUAUAAAAUAUAGGGCAUGAGAGUUAUGACCAACU
rnacentral:lncRNA from 1 species